rnacentral:rRNA from 1 species
GACGAACGCUGGCGGCGUGCUUAACACAUGCAAGUCGAACGGAAAGGCCCUGCUUUUGUGGGGUGCUCGAGUGGCGAACGGGUGAGUAAAACGUGAGUAAACUGCCCUUGACUUUGGGAUAACUUCAGGAAAAUGGGGCUAAUACAGGAUAGGAGAUCCUGCUGCAUGGUGGGGGUUGGAAAGUUUCGGCGGUUGGGGAUGGACUCGCGGCUUAUCAGCUGGUUGGUGGGGUAGUGGCUGACCAAGGCUUUGACGGGUAGCCGGCCUGGGAGGGUGACCGGCCACCUGGGGCCUGAGGUACGGCCCAGACGCCUACGGGAGGCAACAGGGGGGAAUAUUGCGCAGUGGGCGCAAGCCUGAGGCGGCAACGCCGCGUUCGGGAUACCGGCCUUCGAGUUGUAAACCGCUUUCGCCUGUGACGAAGCGUGAGUGACGGUAAUGGGUAAAGAAGCACCGGCUAACUACGUG